rnacentral:tRNA from 3 species
GCUUCCGUAGCUCAGUUGGUUAGAGCGUCGUACUAAUACUUCAUCCGAGUGUCACGUGAUGCGAAGGUCUCAGGUUCAAGCCCUGGCGGGAGCA